GGGCAAGUAGCCAAGUGGCCAACGGCAGCAGACUGUAAAUCUGCCCUCUUCGGAGUUCGGUGGUUCGAAUCCAUCCUUGCCCACCA
rnacentral:tRNA from 1 species